rnacentral:lncRNA from 10 species
AACCCUAGUUUCCCAGUGCUGGAAUAUAGAAAAUGGAUGGACAAGUAAAUCCCACUCAGCACCCAUAGUCCAGGCAUGGGGACCUCAACACACCUGAGCCCCAGACAUCACCUUUCAUUCUGGACCUACCAUGAAAGACUUCUGAAUCCAGGAAGAGAAACUGGCUGGGCAACAUGUUAUUCAGAAACAGGACCUUGCCCUGUCACUCAGGAUGGAGUUCAGUGGUCCUAUCAUGGCUCAUUAUAGCCUCAAACUCCCAGGCUCAAGCAAUCCUACCAUGUCAGCCUUCCCAGUAGCUGGGACUACAGGCUGGAGUACAGUGGCACAACCUCUGCUCACUGCAGCCUCCACCUGCCAGGCUCAAGCAAUGCUCCUGCCUCAGCUUCCCGAGUAGCUGGGAUUACAG